GAACUGCAAAAUUUAACAUUACACUAUUAAUUGUUAUUUUAUAAAAAUGUGUGUUUAAACUCUUUGAUAAUGUCCGGUAAAAAUGCACAUCAUUCCCCAAUUCACGGUCCUUUAUAACUCUACAGUUAAACCGUUAGAUUUAAUAAUACAAUAUAUUACAAUAUCAUUGAUAUAAUACUAUUAUUCGAAAUGUAAUUCUUAUUACAAUAAUAGGCGCAUUAUAGCAAUGCAACUUUCAAUAAACAGUUUGCUGCGUUGUUUGCUACUUGGUGGGUUACUUGACAAAACGUUUUGUUUACCGUAUAGUAUUUUUUAGUACAGAAAAUUGAUGGAUUAUUGAAUUAUAAUCCUUAUCAGUAGAUGUUUAGUGACUGAAAACAGUAAACGUAGUUU